rnacentral:rRNA from 1 species
UCUUCCCUCUGGCGGCGUGCCUAAUACAUGCAAGUCGAGCGAACGGACGAGAAGCUUGCUUCUCUGAUGUUAGCGGCGGACGGGUGAGUAACACGUGGAUAACCUACCUAUAAGACUGGGAUAACUUCGGGAAACCGGAGCUAAUACCGGCUAAUAUUUUGAACCGCAUGGUUCAAAAGUGAAAGACGGUCUUGCUGUCACUUAUAGAUGGAUCCGCGCUGCAUUAGCUAGUUGGUAAGGUAACGGCUUACCAAGGCAACGAUGCAUAGCCGACCUGAGAGGGUGAUCGGCCACACUGGAACUGAGACACGGUCCAGACUCCUACGGGAGGCAGCAGUAGGGAAUAUUCCGCAAUGGGCGAAAGCCUGACGGAGCAACGCCGCGUGAGUGAUGAAGGUCUUCGGAUCGUAAAACUCUGUUAGUAGGGAAGAACAUAUGUGUAAGUAACUGUGCUCAUCUUGACGGUACCUAAUCAGAAAGCCACGGCUAACUACGUG